UGAGGUACUGGAAGGUCCUCAGGCCGAAAGGGGCUCUGCCCGCCCGAGGAUGGGCCGGCGGCCGAUUAGGUAGUUGGUGGGUAACGGCCCACCAAGCCAAAGAUCGGUACGGGCCAUGAGAGUGGGAGCCCGGAGAUGGACACUGAGACACGGGUCCAGGCCCUACGGGGCGCAGCAGGCGCGAAACCUCCGCAAUGCGGGCAACCGCGACGGGGGGACCCCCAGUGCCGUGGCAACGCCACGGCUUUUCCGGAGUGUAAAAAGCUCCGGGAAUAAGGGCUGGGCAAGGCCGGUGGCAGCCGCCGCGGUAAUACCGGCGGCCCGAGUGGUGGCCGCUAUUAUUGGGCCUAAAGCGUCCGUAGCCGGGCCCGUAAGUCCCUGGCGAAAUCCCACGGCUCAACCGUGGGGCUUGCUGGGGAUACUGCGGGCCUUGGGACCGGGAGAGGCCGGGGGUACCCCUGGGGUAGGGGUGAAAUCCUAUAAUCCCAGGGGGACCGCCAGUGGCGAAGGCGCCCGGCUGGAACGGGUCCGACGGUGAGGGACGAAGGCCAGGGGAGCGAACCGGAUUAGAUACCCGGGUAGUCCUGGCUGUAAAGGAUGCGGGCUAGGUGUCGGGCGAGCUUCGAGCUCGCCCGGUGCCGAAGGGAAGCCGU
rnacentral:rRNA from 1 species